AGGGAUUCAUCCAGCAGCCGCUGACUGUGGCCUUCCAGGCUCUGAAUAAAGCAGAAAUAAACCUGGUCUUGACAUAAAACCUGGGAUCGAAUGUUUUUCCAGCGUCGGUGUGGAGUUUGAAAUUUUAGUAUCGUAACAACUGGAAAGGACUCUAUGCUGCAGUUUAUCAUUUCAAGGUUGGUUUCUUUACUCUGUCGGAGCUUCAAGAGAAAAUUCCUGAGAGGAGAAACUUUAAAGGUUUCUAAGAAGACAAGGAGAU